rnacentral:lncRNA from 1 species
GCUUUGGUGUAAUGCAGAAUUCGUAACAUGACAAAAUUGGCUGACACUAAUUGAUUCUUAUAAAUAUACAAUGUACAUGUAUUAAUAUAUAUAUAGAAAUGUGCGGCAUUCAAUUUCAGGAUUACCAAGGGACAACUAUUCAGAGUUCACAGACAAUAACAAAAAUAAGUCUUGAUAAGAUUUGCGUUAUUAUACAUGUAUGUAUGUAGUGAUGGAAUAUUUAUCAUGUGAAUAUUUGUUAAAAUUUUGAACAUAUUAUUCAACAGGUCCAAGGACACAGUUAUCGUCCUUUGGUUUUUGUUGUCUACGAAUAUAGUCCCUAGUGUAAACAGUGUAUAACUUGCAUGUUUUAUUUGAUACACUUUCCCAAUUUAUUUCUUGAUAUUAAAUGCAUGAAAUAUUAAGUAGGGGGAUGUAAUUACAUGUUAAAAAAAUUUGGGUGCUGAAUCUUUAUGUUAAGUAGUGAUUUGGUCCAGUUCAAAAAGGUCAAAUUUUAUCACGUCUGAAGCUGUCAAACUGAAUUUUACACCCCUUAACACAGAAUUGUCAAUAUUUUGAGUUAGAGCUGGUAGAAGUUUCUAUAAUUUUGAUAUUAUUUGUCUCCGUGGUAGUACACUACACUGUAAAAAUCUUUUUGAGAAAGAGCAGGUGCGAUUUUUUUAAUUUGAAUUUAUUGUCUGAAAGAAAUGCACUACGAAAUAACUGUGUUCUCAGGCCAACAUAAAUUUUUUGGUGUUGCAUACUUUUUAAUGCUAUACUAAUUGAUAUUUAUAUUGGUAAGAAUCUUUUUUAUAUUCUUUGAUUGUGACAAACUCUGUUUAUAUUAUUAAACAGAUAUAUUUAGGGAUUUGUGAUUGGUUAAGACUUGAUCACAUGUACAUUUGUAUUUACUGUUACUCAGUUUGUAUGCCAAUACUGUUGUUUAUGUAGGUCAAAACUGCAUAUAACAUCGAGCAUACUGUAUGUUACUAGCAAUACAUCCUAGAGAUCCCACAUUUGACAUUGCUCAUGCAAUAUUUGUUGAUUUAUAAUACAACAGUUGUAGCCUUUGGUUGAGACUUAUACAUGGACAAAGAAGCGUAACAACCUCAGACUUCGUCCUCAAUCAAUAUGCUUCUCUUAGGUCAAUAUAACAUAUAUACCAAAGACUAUAUCUGUAUGAUAAAGCUUUUUAAUUUGUAUAUAUAUACUUGUAUAUGAGUACAUUGAUUUGAACAAAACCAGAAUUUUUUCCAAGAUGAUAGUAUUAUGUUCCAUGUUCAAAUACUCAGUAAAGUGAGACCUGCACCUAUUAACUGUGUCACAAUUCUAAUUUUUUUCACACACUCAUUUUUGUUGACAAUUUGUCUACUGUAAGUAGGCAACAAAGAUUUUAAAAACAUUUUUGUACAGUUUUUAGUUAUAACCAAAGGAGUUUGAAUAUAACCUGUGUGUUUAUUCAGUAGAGUGGUUAAAGACUGAGUGCUGAUAAUGUAAAAGUAUCUAUGAGAUUUUCAAGGCAUUUGCAUAUGCAUUUCUGUGUUUUGUUUAGUUGAGUACAAAUUUAUAAAGCAUUGCCAGGAUAAGAAAAAUGGUAAAAAUGACAUGAUUGAAGGUGCUUUAAAAUAGGCUAGAGAUUCUUGUGUACUUUCUCUUCUCUGAAAAAUCCAUGAUCUUAGGAGAUUGUAUUUUCAUGAAACUAGAGAUUACCUAUACUAAAAAUGUCUGACGAAGCACUCUCUGUCAUUAGCUAUUCUUUAAUAUCAUGUUUAUAAAUAUAUGAAGUAUUUCUUGUAAUGUAUGUUAAAUGGAUUGCUAUUAAUGUGGACUUAAAAUAUAUUGUUAAGUUUGAAAAUGGUGAAUAUAUUGUGGAAAGUUUAAUCUGGUUGUUAAGAUAAGAUAAAUGAAUAUACAUUUUUGUAUCAUGAUAUUUUUAAUUGUUUAAAGUUGUACAUAUUCAGACCAAGUCCAACCAAAGUGCAAAAGUAUUUUUGUGGUUGGCUCAAAUCUAAUUAUAUCAACACUUUGUAUUUGUCAGACUUGAUAUGAGAAUUUUUUUAUUAACGACUCAUCUGAAUCUUUGAUAUGUAUAUAUUUGGAUAAUGUAUGCUAGUAAAAUGAAUCAGGAAAUGGUCACAUUUAAUUAAGCAGUUUUAAAAACAAAAUAAGUAACUCAAAUGUACAUUAUUUGAAGAAUUAUAUACUGUUAAACAAAGGAUCAAAAUACAUUUUGCCAUUUUAUGGAUAAAAACUAAAUUGCUUAAAAGGUUCUACAAGAUUUUAUUACCUAGUGCACAAUUAUUAGAAAAUGAAUGCCUCAUUCAAAAUAACAUAGAAUAAAAAUGCUAUAACACCUGAAUUUUUAAAAGAGUAUGCUGAACCAAACACCAAACAAUAUUUGCAAUAAUGGAAUUGUAUGAAGAGGUUGUGUAUUUUUUUUUUAAAUAAUAAAUAAACAAGAUAAGUUGAUUAUCUGUGCUUUCUGCUGUAAAAAAGUGAAUAUGUAAUGCAUUCAUAAUUUUAGAAUAAGGGAAAUGUUACAAAAGCCGAAUUAUUAUGAAUGAAUUGUUCUAGAAUAUCUAACAAUUGAGGAUUUUGAAAAUUCUGUUUAAUUUGAAGAUGUUGUACGUAUUCUACAUAAAUUUUCUCUGUUGUUUUCUACAGUUCCCU